ensembl:lncRNA
GGAAGGAGCUGCCUGUGAGAGCUGGGGCUGCUUGGGAUUUCCAGCCAGUUUGUUAAGGGUGAGGGUUUCCUGUUUGUCUCCCUGUGUCCCUGGUUUCAUCAUCACAGCCAAGUGUAGCAGCUGCCAGUGCUGCCAGGAAGUCCUCAGCGGGGCUGCAGCUUCAGAGUGGCGGAGGCACUGCAGGCGGAUCCCACUCCUCCAGGGCCUGUCUGGAGGGAUAUGGGAGCCAUCCAGUUCUGUGGACACUACAGGUAACAAAAAGUUUGGAAGAACCGCUGCUUAGAAGAUUUCGCAUUAGAUGAAUUGGAAUGAUUAAAUAAACAUAAAAUCUUAUACUGGAAUCCAAGCAACCUAAACACACCCUAGAUAUAUUAACAUCCAAUGCUGAAUUCCGAAAGAGAAAUGAUCAUGGUGCAUUGAGAGAACUUGUAGCUGGAAGCAAUUCAGUGUGGGCCUGACCUCACCACAGGACUGCACCUGCUGUCACCUAGUGCAAAAUUAUAAGGUCUCCAAAUAAGAACCUCUUCCUGAGUGUCUAUUUUAUAAGGAGCUACUAGACUUAAGGCAUCACACAAUGAACUCACUUUAGUUUUUAGAGACUUUUCAAUUUCAUUCGAGGGAACUUUUUAUGUCACCAACAAAAGAUUUAGGCAUUUUUCAGUAUAAAUAUCAAAAAUUAUGUCAUGACCUGCAUUUAAAAUAACUAUCAGUCUGUCAUUCUGAACACACUUUUCCCCACAAUGACCCUGGCGAAUCUCAGGGUUCCUGACCUACCACAACCUGGGACGUAACCUGGCUGAUUCUCUGACCUAAGAGGCAUUGAGUUCUCACCUACUUAUCUCUUGAUAGAUUUCUCUGCAAUUGGUGUCAGCUACUGACUAACACACACCACAACCCAUAACCUCUAAGCCACCACUGAUUAUACUGAACUUUCACCUUGAUUCAUGAAAACACAAACGAAAAAGAAAACAUUUAAAACAGAUUAUAGGCAUUUAACCUCUAAUGUAAGCAGUAAUAUAAUAGCUUCUUGAAAAUCUGCUUUUGUUCUAUCCUGGAUUUCAUUAAUGUAGUCUCCUACUUGACAAGGGUAGACAGAUAUUUCCAGUUAUUCUAUGAAUUUUGUACAUGAAGCUUGUAACAGUCUAAGUUUGGGCACCCUGUUCCACUGCCAAAAAGUAAAGAGACAACAUCUAUUUUAUACAAGGACUCACAUACUUAAUCCUGGCCAGUCUCCAAGAAGUUAGAAUUUUGUUCAUAGUGGUUACUUCUGUCUCUAUUUUCGAUAUUCCCCAUUGGGUUGAACAUGACUAAUUUCCUUUUCUCCAUAUCCCAGAGUGUGGACAAAAUAGGCAAAUGAGGUUUGAAAAUAAAGUGAUACUAGAAAUAGAAUCCAAGAAGGAAAUUCUAUGAUCAAUUUACUUGAACCAUUAAAAAGUAUGUUUCAAUUUUAACUACACAUUCUCUCCAGGUAAAAUUGAGGGAAUUAGAUUUAGUGUCAUUACACUGGCAAAGGGGACAUAUUUGGUAAUUGUUUAGGAAUAGAAGACAGUCUCCUUCCUACAAAUCUCCGAAAAUAUUGUCAAGCAUGAGGAAAAUCAAACCAAAACAAUGUUGCAAAGAUAUCUUAGUGUUGUGAUUGCUUAAAAAAUAUAUACACUGCAUUCAUUAUUCAGAAUUGUGUCUGUUCCAUUC